rnacentral:lncRNA from 1 species
UAAUGGUUAGGAAGAUGUGGAAUGACCAUUUAUGGGACAUUUCUUAUUACACUCUUUAACUCCUGGUAUUUGUGAGUACCAAGGGCACAGUGUUUGACAGUCACUAGUACCCAGGAGGAUCUGAGACUCUGAAAAGAAAUUUCAUUACAAUUGUGGCGUCUCUGUAAUUUCCAAUUCUAGAAGUAUCUUCUUUUACUGUGAAAUAAUUGAAAAGCCAGAGUCAGUACAAUGGAAAGAGAAAAAAAGAGCUGACAUCUCUGAGAGGAGCAGAAGAUGAGAGAGAAUAAAGGGAAAGCCAGUCUUCUAGGCCCAAAGUUUGCAACUCUGCCAUAUUCAGACCUUGUCACUAUGAUGCGUCAUCAUGAAUGUUCCUGCCAUUGCAUUAUUUUUAUUUUCUGAGUAUUGGUUUCAGUGCUUAAUGACAAUCCAUGGGGUAUCAUCUUCCCAGAAACAACCUCCUUAUUCAUGGAUUGUCUGAAAUUGAUUGUUCAAAUUAGCAGUGAUGAAAAUAAAGCACAAGGGAACCAUGUUUCUUCAUUACAGAGAGGAGGAUAACUCAUAGUGCUGGGCCCUGAGAAUAUCUCUUCACAGCUUUCUGUCACGUUCACCCCAGAAUUCUGUUUAGGUUAACUUUCAACGUUGUAUUGUUGCAAGUACCUCUAGCCCUCCUUAUCCCCAGACCAAAUAUCAGGCUAAGAACUGCCCUUUGGUGAUAUUGUCCAGACCCUCUUAAGCCCACUCACACACUCUGCAGCAUGCUUG